rnacentral:piRNA from 1 species
UUGUAGAUAUAUUAUUGAGUUUUCUGGUC